rnacentral:lncRNA from 10 species
CCUGAAAUGACUAAGACACACACCAGUACAUCCAAGUGGAGAGCCAGACUUCCACCCACACGAGACUGUCUCAAGGUGCUCCAACACCUCCCCUGUAGGGAGCAUCUGAGACAGUCAAACAGAGCCUGUCAUAAGGCCACCUCGUGGUAUCUGUGGAGAAUGUCAGGAGAGUCUUGCCUUUCUCCUCCACCAGCAAUAACAAAGCGCCUGUCCUCCUACCAUCUGGGUGGCGUCAGAGGGAUAUUCUAGUGGAGACUCGGGACUUUCAAGAUUUACCAUCAACAAUGAGGUCAGCUCUACCUCAGUAUCAGUGGAGACCACAAACACAGCUGAAAAUUCCUCUUCCAUCCAACCGUAACAAGGAGCAUCCCCACCCCCAAACUUGGGUGUCAAUGAAGGAUGGGUGGAGAACCUGGAUUUCUUCCUCUACCUGGCGUCAGAUCUUGGAGAAGUUGAUAAACAGAGAAGGGAUAACAACCUCCUGUUUCUUCAUUGGACAAGAGUUUUAUGAGUUUGAGCUAGAGAUCUGAUUUAAUUGGUCCAGGG